CCUACGGGCGGCAGCAGUGAGGAAUAUUGGUCAAUGGACGAGAGUCUGAACCAGCCAAGUAGCGUGAAGGAUGACUGCCCUAUGGGUUGUAAACUUCUUUUAUAUGGGAAUAAAACGUUCCACGUGUGGGAUUUUGUAUGUACCAUAUGAAUAAGGAUCGGCUAACUCCGUGCCAGCAGCCGCGGUAAUACGGAGGAUCCGAGCGUUAUCCGGAUUUAUUGGGUUUAAAGGGAGCGUAGGUGGAUUGUUAAGUCAGUUGUGAAAGUUUGCGGCUGAACCGUAAAAUUGCAGUUGAAACUGGCAGUCUUGAGUACAGUAGAGGUGGGCGGAAUUCGUGGUGUAGCGGUGAAAUGCUUAGAUAUCACGAAGAACUCCGAUUGCGAAGGCAGUUCACUGGACUGCAACUGACACUGAGGCUCGAAAGUGUGGGUAUCAAACAGGAUUAGAUACCCGAGUAGUC
rnacentral:rRNA from 1 species